GGAUGUUGGAGUCAACAUCUGCCACCCCAUUGAUCACCAGAGUUGAUUUGGCUGAUCUGGCUGGUUAUGUGGGUGUCCCCUUCCUCCUUCACCACUCAAUGUGCAUUCCUUCCAAAGCUGCCCACUCAGUCAAAGAAGACAACUUUUACCGAUAGUAGACUUGUAGGAGAGCACACAGAAUGUUGUAAGGGUGUUGUCAAGUUUUAAUGUUUAAUGUGUCAAGUUUAUUGCAUUUUUUCGUGAUAAAAAUAAUAAAACUCAUUGAAGUAUAUGUGAAAAAUAUAUAAAAGUUAAAGGAUAAAUAGCAAGUAUAUCUGAGAGGCACAAUUUCAGGGCAUGUUUGCUUCUGGUU
rnacentral:snRNA from 1 species